rnacentral:pre_miRNA from 1 species
GCUGGGCUCAUUAAUUGACGUGACAAGGGCCACGUCAGCUGGCGGAGCUCCGGC